ACACAUUUUUCAAGUUGACAACU
rnacentral:miRNA from 1 species